rnacentral:rRNA from 1 species
GGCGGACGGGUGAGUAUGUCUGGGAAACUGCCUGAUGGAGGGGGAUAACUACUGAAACGGUAGCUAAUACCGCAUAACGUCGCAAGACCAGAGAGGGGGACCUUCGGGCCUCUUGCCAUCAGAUGUGCCCAGAUGGGAUUAGCUAGUAGGUGGGGUAACGGCUCACCUAGGCGACGAUCCCUAGCUGGUCUGAGAGGAUGACCAGCCACACUGGAACUGAGACACGGUCCAGACUCCUACGGGAGGCAGCAGUGGGGAAUAUUGCACAAUGGGCGCAAGCCUGAUGCAGCCAUGCCGCGUGUAUGAAGAAGGCCUUCGGGUUGUAAAGUACUUUCAGCGGGGAGGAAGGUGUGUGGUUAAUAACCACAGCAAUUGACGUUACCCGCAGAAGAAGCACCGGCUAACUCCGUGCCAGCAGCCGCGGUAAUACGGAGGGUGCAAGCGUUGAUCGGAAUUACUGGGCGUAAAGCGCACGCAGGCGGUCUGUCAAGUCGGAUGCGAAAUCCCCGGGCUCAACCUGGGAACUGGAUUCGAAACUGGCAGGCUAAGUCUUGUAAGGGGGGUAGAAUUCCAGGUGUAGCGGUGAAAUGCGUAAAGAUC